rnacentral:rRNA from 1 species
GUAGGUGACGUACCCUCGGGUCGGGGAUAGCCACGGGAAACUGUGGGUAAUACCCGAUAAUCUCCCGGAUCAUCAUGGUCUGGGAGCAAAGGUGUGAUUCCACCGGAGGAGCGGCCUGCUUCGUAUUAGCUAGUUGGUGAGGUAAUGGCUCACCAAGGCGACGAUGCGUAGGGGGUGUGAGAGCAUGACCCCCACCACUGGGACUGAGAUACUGCCCAGACACCUACGGGUGGCUGCAGUCGAGAAUCUUCGGCAAUGGGCGCAAGCCUGACCGAGCGACGCCGCGUGUGGGAUGAAGGCCCUUGGGUUGUAAACCACUGUCAGAGGGGAUGAAAUGCCAGCCAGCAAUCUGGUUGGUUUGACAUAGCCUCAGAGGAAGCACGGGCUAAGUUCGUGCCAGCAGCCGCGGUAAUACGAACUGUGCGAACGUUAUUCGGAAUCACUGGGCUUACAGGGUGCGUAGGCGGCUUGUUAAGUAGGGUGUGAAAGCCCCCGGCUCAACCGGGGAAUGGCGCCCUAAACUGGCGAGCUG